CGGUGCUGGGAGGCGUGAGAGUUCGGGCAUGGGAGACGGCGUUUGCGCCUGCGCAUCACCUUGAGUUCUGUUGAAGGCAACGCGGAGGCGGGGGCGGGGGCAAGGCUGGAGUGGAGAAGGCGCGGCGAGAGGAAGCCUUGCUCCUGGUGUUUUUUUAUCUCUGGGUACGUGGUGGAGCUGUACGCCCCUCUGGGAUCCUCCCUAUCUCUCAUGAGCGAGGGUCAGCUGGUCCCGCUCACAACAAGAAUGUCCUCUACAGUCUACUCAACCAAAAGACAUCCUGCCUUUUCCGGCCGACGGGCGUGUAGAGCUCUGGUUUACCAAGCGCUUUACACGUACCAUCUCAUUUGAUCCUCGAGCCUGUGAGGUAUCAGCACUAUAUUUGUUUCAUAAAAGUAGCUUGAUUCGUCAGCCUUCUUGAGGGAUCACACUGCUCACCUCCUGGUUUGAGGAAGGGGCUAGAAAAGGCUUAUUCUUCUCCUGGAAGAUGGUCAUCCACUUGAGAUCCAGUGCAGUUUCAGAAAGGGCUGAGGAGCUGAUUUGGUGUUUGCUGCCCAACUCUGGAAAAAAAUAGCAGAAGCAAAACAAAGGCCAAACUGACAUUUGUCAGUAUGACCAAGGCCAGUCAUGAGGGCUUGUGGAAAAUUAUGUCAAAUUUUGGUUGCCUGGAGAAGUUCAUCAAUAUUGUAUGUCAAUUUCAUGAUGGCAUGCUUGCAUGGGUUCUGGUUGACAGACAAAGCUCUUGCACUUUCCCAGUCACUAAUGGAGUGAAACAAGGCUGUGUGUUUACUUUCAUGCUUUUUAGCAUGAUGUUUUCCAUGAUGUUGUGAAAUGCCUUCAACAAGCAUGAAAAUGGCAUCAAGGUCAGCUACUGCAGUGAUGGUAAAUUAUUUAACUUGAAAAGGCAACAAGCCAAGACUAAAGUGGAAGGAGAAUUGGUGCAUGAUUUUUUGUUUGCAGAUGACUGUACACUCACUGUAGUCUCCAAAGUUGAAAUGCAACAAAGUAUGAAUCAGUUCUUUGCUGCUUGUGCUAAUUUUGGCCUAACAAUUAAUACCAAGAAAAUAACAGGUUUUCUACCAGUCGGCACUAUGACAUCUAUAUAUGGAACCACCAGUUAUGGCAAUGGAGAAAUUUUGAAUACUGUGGAUAAGUUCACUUAUCUUAGCAAUAUAUUUUCUAGGGAUGUAUAGGUGGAUGAAGAGGUUGAUGGACAUAUUGCCAGAGCUAGCUCUGUGUUUGAGAGACUCCAAAGGAAAAUGAGGGAGAGAAGAGGUAUUAGCCUGCCUACCAAACUGAAAGUCUACAGAGUUGUUGCGAUGACCUUAUUGUUGUAUGCCUGUGAAACCUGGACAGUAUACCAUGGCCAUACCAUGAAACUGAAUCACUUCCAUUUGAAUUGUCUUAGAAAGAUUCUGAAGAUCACAUGGCAAGAUAAGAUACCAGACACUGAGGUCCUUUCUAGAGCCAAACUGCCAAAUAUUCAAACUCUACUGUAGAGAGCAUAGCUCUGAUGGGCUGGUCAUGUUGUUUGAAUGCCAGACAUACAUUUUAGACUAGAAGACUAUUUUAUGGAGAACUCACACAAGGUAAGCACUCACAUGGAGGUCAGAAGAAGCAAUACAAGGUUCCUCUCAAAGU